GUCACCUAGGGAUCUUGUUAAACAUGCAGAUUCUGAUUCAGUGAGUCUGGGGUGGGGCUAGAGACACUGCAUUUCUAACAAGCUCCCAGGUGAUGCUGU
rnacentral:pre_miRNA from 1 species